rnacentral:rRNA from 1 species
UUUUAUUAGACCAAACCGCUGGGAGUUGUCGCGUUGCACUUCGGUGUGGCCGGCAGCUUGACUCUCGCUUUAUGGUGACUCUGGAUAACCAUUUCUGACAAGCGCACGUACCCCUCUCCGAGUGGGACGGCGCUGCCACUUUCGAGUGUCUGCCUUAUCAGCUGUCAACCGCUCGCUACACG